CUACGGGCUGCUGCAGUGGGGAAUAUUGCGCAAUGGGGGAAACCCUGACGCAGCGACGCCGCGUGGAGGAUGAAGGUUUUCGGAUCGUAAACUCCUGUCAGUAGGGAAGAACCCUGCAAGGAAUAAUACGCCUUGCAGCUGACGGUACCUACAGAGGAAGCACCGGCUAAUUCCGUGCCAGCAGGCCGCGGUAAUACGGAAGGUGCAUGCGUUAAUCGGAAUCACUGGGCGUAAAGCGCUCGUAGGUGGCUUUGUAAGUCAGGUGUGAAAGCCCACGGCUCAACCGUGGAAUUGCACUUGAUACUGCAUUGCUUGAGUUCGGGAGAGGGUAGUGGAAUUCCAGGUGUAGGAGUGAAAUCCGUAGAGAUCUGGAGGAACACCAGUGGCGAAGGCGACUACCUGGACCGAUACUGACACUGAGGAGCGAAAGCGUGGGGAGCAAACAGGAUUAGAUACCCCAGUAGUC
rnacentral:rRNA from 1 species